CGAGGGAGCAGCAGCGAUGCGAUCGCAAGUGCACCAUAAAAUGCGGUCCAGAUCUUCAAGCUAAGGGGCACCAGAGGUGAAGAAGAUCCAGUCUCUGGACUGGAUGAAAACAUCAACAGCUUGAGGCUACCACAUGAAUAAAAUAUGUACUCAAACCCUAUCUGUUCUUUUUCCUUCUUUUUUUUUCUCACUAUUUUUAAUGUUAAGGGACUAUAGGACAUAAGAGCCUGUUUGAGCCCUUUCACUACUCGCUAGUCAUCUAUGAAUGCAUCUAUAAUAAUAUAUUUUAUGUUUAAUCCUA